CCUACGGGAGGCAGCAGUGGGGAAUAUUGGACAAUGGGGGGAACCCUGAUCCAGCCAUGCCGCGUGUGUGAAGAAGGCCCUCGGGUUGUAAAGCACUUUCAGUGAGGAAGAACGCCUGGUGGUUAAUACCCAUCAGGAAAGACAUCACUCACAGAAGAAGCACCGGCUAACUCCGUGCCAGCAGCCGCGGUAAUACGGAGGGUGCGAGUGUUAAUCGGAAUUACUGGGCGUAAAGCGCGCGUAGGUGGCUUGAUAAGCCGGUUGUGAAAGCCCCGGGCUCAACCUGGGAACGGCAUCCGGAACUGUCAAGCUAGAGUGCAGGAGAGGAAGGUAGAAUUCCCGGUGUAGCGGUGAAAUGCGUAGAGAUCGGGAGGAAUACCAGUGGCGAAGGCGGCCUUCUGGACUGACACUGACACUGAGGUGCGAAAGCGUGGGUAGCAAACAGGAUUAGAUACCCCGGUAGUC
rnacentral:rRNA from 1 species